rnacentral:rRNA from 1 species
UACGGAGGAUCCGAGCGUUAUCCGGAAUCAUUGGGUUUAAAGGGUCCGUAGGCGGUUUAAUAAGUCAGUGGUGAAAGCCCAUCGCUCAACGGUGGAACGGCCAUUGAUACUGUUAAACUUGAAUUAUUAGGAAGUAACUAGAAUAUGUAGUGUAGCGGUGAAAUGCUUAGAGAUUACAUGGAAUACCAAUUGCGAAGGCAGGUUACUACUAAUGGAUUGACGCUGAUGGACGAAAGCGUGGGUAGCGAACAGG